CUGGCGGCGUGCUUAACACAUUGCAAGUUCGAACGAUGAAGCCUAGCUUUGCUAGGUUGGAUUAGUCGGCGAACGGGUUGAGUAAUACGUGAGUCGACCUACCUUUUGACUCUGGGAUAAGCCUGGGAAACUGGGUCUAAUACCGGAUACGACCAAUCUCCGCAUGGGGUGUUGGUGGAAAGCGUUAUGGAGUGGUUUUAGAUGGGCUCACGGCCUAUCAGCUUGUUGGUGAGGUAAUGGCUUACCAAGGCGACGACGGGUAGCCGGCCUGAGAGGGUGACCGGCCACACUGGGACUGAGACACGGCCCAGACUCCUACGGGAGGCAGCAGUGGGGAAUAUUGCACAAUGGGCGCAAGCCUGAUGCAGCGACGCCGCGUGAGGGAUGACGGCCUUCGGGUUGUAAACCUCUGUUAGCAUCGAAGAAGCGAAAGUGACGGUAGGUGCAGAGAAAGCGCCGGCUAACUACGUGCCAGCAGCCGCGGUAAUACGUAGGGCGCGAGCGUUGUCCGGAAUUAUUGGGCGUAAAGAGCUUGUAGGCGGUUGGUCGCGUCUGCUGUGAAAGGCUGGGGCUUAACCCUGGUUUUGCAGUGGGUACGGGCUAACUAGAGUGCAGUAGGGGAGACUGGAAUUCCUGGUGUAGCGGUGGAAUGCGCAGAUAUCAGGAGGAACACCGAUGGCGAAGGCAGGUCUCUGGGCUGUAACUGACGCUGAGAAGCGAAAGCAUGGGGAGCGAACAGGAUUAGGUACCCUGGUAGUCCAUGCCGUAAACGUUGGGCACUAGGUGUGGGGGACAUUCCACGUUUUCCGCGCCGUAGCUAACGCAUUAAGUGCCCCGCCUGGGGAGUACGGCCGCAAGGCUAAAACUCAAAGAAAUUGACGGGGGCCCGCACAAGCGGCGGAGCAUGCGGAUUAAUUCGAUGCAACGCGAAGAACCUUACCAAGGCUUGACAUAUACUGGACUGCGUCAGAGAUGGCGUUUCCCUUCGGGGCUGGUAUACAGGUGGUGCAUGGUUGUCGUCAGCUCGUGUCGUGAGAUGUUGGGUUAAGUCCCGCAACGAGCGCAACCCUCGUUCUAUGUUGCCAGCACGUGAUGGUGGGGACUCAUAGGAGACUGCCGGGGUCAACUCGGAGGAAGGUGGGGAUGACGUCAAAUCAUCAUGCCCCUUAUGUCUUGGGCUUCACGCAUGCUACAAUGGCCGGUACAGAGGGUUGCGAUACUGUGAGGUGGAGCUAAUCCCUAAAAGCCGGUCUCAGUUCGGAUUGGGGUCUGCUAACUCGACCCCUUGAAAGUCGGAGUCGCUAGUAAUCGCUGUUUCUGCUGACGCUGCGGUGUAUUACGUUUCUCGGGCCUUUUUCGCCCCUCCC
rnacentral:rRNA from 1 species